rnacentral:rRNA from 1 species
AUUGAACGCUGGCGGCAUGCCUAACACAUGCAAGUCGAACGGCAGCAUGAAUAGGGGUAACCUUAUUUGAUGGCGAGUGGCGGACGGGUGAGUAAUAUGUAGGAAUCUACCUAGAGGAGGGGGAUAACUUGGGGAAACCCAAGCUAAUACCACAUAAGCCCUACGGGGGAAAGCAGGGGACCGCAAGGCCUUGCGCCUUAUGAUGAGCCUACAUCGGAUUAGCUAGUUGGUGGGGUAAAGGCCUACCAAGGCGACGAUCCGUAGCUGGUCUGAGAGGAUGAUCAGCCACACUGGGACUGAGACACGGCCCAGACUCCUACGGGAGGCAGCAGUGGGGAAUAUUGGACAAUGGGCGAAAGCCUGAUCCAGCAAUGCCGCGUGUGUGAAGAAGGCCUUAGGGUUGUAAAGCACUUUCAGUAGGGAGGAAGGGGUUAAUGCUAAUACCAUUAAUCAUUGACGUUACCUACAGAAGAAGCACCGGCUAACUCUGUGCCAGCCGCCGCCGUAAAAC